rnacentral:rRNA from 1 species
GGCCAGACUCCUACGGGAGGCAGCAGUGAGGAAUAUUGGUCAAUGGGCGCGAGCCUGAACCAGCCAAGUCGCGUGAGGGAUGACGGUCCUACGGAUUGUAAACCUCUUUUGCCGGGGAGCAAGGGCGGGGACGUGUCCCGGCCCGGAGAGUACCCGGAGAAAAAGCAUCGGCUAACUCCGUGCCAGCAGCCGCGGUAAUACGGAGGAUGCGAGCGCUAUCCGGAUUUAUUGGGUUUAAAGGGUGCGUAGGCGGGCUUUUAAGUCAGCGGUAAAAAUUCGGGGCUCAACCCCGUCCGGCCGUUGAAACUGGCGUUCUUGAGUGGGCGAGAAGUAUGCGGAAUGCGUGGUGUAGCGGUGAAAUGCAUAGAUAUCACGCAGAACUCCGAUUGCGAAGGCAGCAUACCGGCGCUCAACUGACGCUCAUGCACGAAAGCGUGGGUAUCGAACAGGAUUAGAUACCCCGGUA